CAGAAAUAGGCGCACGACUAUUAUACGUUGUAUACGCUAUAUCGAUUAUUAUCGAUAUAUAAUUUCUUCUAAUCGAUUUAUGCCGCCAUGAAAUGGCAGUUUUACGCGGGAACUGCAGCAAGAAGAAGCAUUAUGGAAGUCAUUAGAUCUUAGAGAGAUAAAGAAAUUCAACCUAAUCACGGAAAUUGGUACAAUUAGAAGCAGAUGAGGUACUAUGGAUAACGACGAAGAACAGGAUUUUUGAUCCUUGCGAUUUCGGAAACGAAGUUUUUCACAACCUCCACUUUCACCAUGGGGUUCAAUGGGGUUCAGAAUAACUUCUUCUGAGCCACAGCAACACUGAUAGUAUCAUAACCUGCAGUUAAUCGUGAGUCAAAUACAGUUUUAUUCCUCCGUUCAUCCAAUCAUGUCGUAGGACGAAAGGUCCGAAUCGACACGGAUAAGUAGUUGUAUUACGUAGAAUUUUUGGCGAGUGUGUGACCACGAGUAUUAAUUACACAUACUCGUGAGUAGUAAUAUCUUAUUUACUUUAUGUAUUAGUUCAGGAUAGGGUCUUCUUGCACACAUGUAUCGCGAUUUUUGAUGAUAAAAAUUUUAUAUCGAUAGUAUUAAUAUAAUCAGAGUAAAAUCAGAAUUUAUUCAAUACCGAUAUUUGCAAAAGUUUGUUAUAAAAGUAAAUAUUAAAAUUGUGUGAAUUACAGAAUCUUGCUGCA
rnacentral:misc_RNA from 1 species